rnacentral:rRNA from 1 species
CCUGGCUCACGUUGAGGGCUAGCUACAGGCUUAACACAUGCAAGUCGAGGGGCAGCAUGGUCUUAGCUUGCUAAGGCCGAUGGCGACCGGCGCACGGGUGAGUAACACGUAUCCAACCUGCCGUCUACUCUUGGACAGCCUUCUGAAAGGAAGAUUAAUACAAGAUGGCAUCAUGAGUCCGCAUGUUCACAUGAUUAAAGGUAUUCCGGUAGACGAUGGGGAUGCGUUCCAUUAGAUAGUAGGCGGGGUAACGGCCCACCUAGUCUUCGAUGGAUAGGGGUUCUGAGAGGAAGGUCCCCCACAUUGGAACUGAGACACGGUCCAAACUCCUACGGGAGGCAGCAGUGAGGAAUAUUGGUCAAUGGGCGAGAGCCUGAACCAGCCAAGUAGCGUGAAGGAUGACUGCCCUAUGGGUUGUAAACUUCUUUUAUAAAGGAAUAAAGUCGGGUAUGCAUACCCGUUUGCAUGUACUUUAUGAAUAAGGAUCGGCUAACUCCGUGCCAGCAGCCGCGGUAAUACGGAGGAUCCGAGCGUUAUCCGGAUUUAUUGGGUUUAAAGGGAGCGUAGAUGGAUGUUUAAGUCAGUUGUGAAAGUUUGCGGCUCAACCGUAAAAUUGCAGUUGAUACUGGAUAUCUUGAGUGCAGUUGAGGCAGGCGGAAUUCGUGGUGUAGCGGUGAAAUGCUUAGAUAUCACGAAGAACUCCGAUUGCGAAGGCAGCCUGCUAAGCUGCAACUGACAUUGAGGCUCGAAAGUGUGGGUAUCAAACAGGAUUAGAUACCCUGGUAGUCCACACGGUAAACGAUGAAUACUCGCUGUUUGCGAUAUACAGCAAGCGGCCAAGCGAAAGCGUUAAGUAUUCCACCUGGGGAGUACGCCGGCAACGGUGAAACUCAAAGGAAUUGACGGGGGCCCGCACAAGCGGAGGAACAUGUGGUUUAAUUCGAUGAUACGCGAGGAACCUUACCCGGGCUUAAAUUGCAGAUGAAUUACGGUGAAAGCCGUAAGCCGCAAGGCAUCUGUGAAGGUGCUGCAUGGUUGUCGUCAGCUCGUGCCGUGAGGUGUCGGCUUAAGUGCCAUAACGAGCGCAACCCUUGUUGUCAGUUACUAACAGGUUCCGCUGAGGACUCUGACAAGACUGCCAUCGUAAGAUGUGAGGAAGGUGGGGAUGACGUCAAAUCAGCACGGCCCUUACGUCCGGGGCUACACACGUGUUACAAUGGGGGGUACAGAGGGCCGCUACCACGCGAGUGGAUGCCAAUCCCAAAAACCUCUCUCAGUUCGGACUGGAGUCUGCAACCCGACUCCACGAAGCUGGAUUCGCUAGUAAUCGCGCAUCAGCCACGGCGCGGUGAAUACGUUCCCGGGCCUUGUACACACCGCCC